GCCAGUCGUCCGAGUCCUCCAUCGCCCUGUCCUGCAUGAACUGGAGGAGGCGGAGGGCGUUCUCGGAGGGGGAGAGGU
rnacentral:SRP_RNA from 11 species